CGCCGAUUCAUAAUCGUUAAGGGAGAAGUUAGCUUUUACACAAACCUUGAAACUGAAGCUUCAACAAUCUGAUAUGAUAAGUGUGGUUAUGUUAGCAAUGAGAUGGCUAAGCACUACUCGUGUGCUCCGAAAGGUCUCGUACCCACGUCCGACGCCGCCUCCAGCAAUUUCAGCUCAUUUCUUAUUUUUCUUCUUUAUUAUUGAGUAAACAUGUGUAUUACUUUAUUUCACUUGUUUAAACAAAAGCAGUUUUAUUGGUUGGCGGCAGA